GCAAAGCUCUGCUUCCUACAUGAGCUUCUGCAUCAAUGGUAAGAUGCUCAAAUCUAACUUCAAUUUCGGGAAGAUCAAUCCCAACUCUGAAAAAUGAAAUAGACAUGCAAACCCAUUACUAAAAAGUCAAAGGAAGAUGUUUGGUUGUGAAGAAAAUGCAGGACUAUCAGUCACAUUUAAGGUGGAUUCUUUCUUUUCCACUGUUUUCAAUGUUAAAAAAGAAAAAGAAAAACGGCAAGAAAGGCAAGAGAAGAGGAGAAAUCGCACCUAUCUAUGCGAUUCCUGAGCUUCAACAAGAACUUCUCAUUGUCCUCUUCGGCAAUUUUCACCAACCGCUCCACUAAAUUCUUCUUUUCCUGAAACCCAAGGUUGUGUAUAUCAACUUCACUGGCCUCACCCGCCGAACCCAUCAGCAAGCCUUUCCUCAUCCGAUUGUAGGUGGGAAGUUUCUCGAGGGCGGCCCAUUUCAAAGCUUCCUCAUCAUCUUCAUCCCUCGAAGAACGGGAGAAAACCUCCUCACCAGAGUUCCUCCAUAUGGAAGAACUGUCCUUCCUUAAACUACCACCGGCUCUAUAAAUUUCACCUGUUGCCAUUGCAACACGAAACGAGGAACCCUCCUGCAAAACCCACCAAAACCCAGAAACCUUUCCUACAAAUUAGGGAGAACAAACCCAAAUUUUGAACUCUAGAGCUGAAAAGCUCAAAAUAAGAGAUGGUUCCCCUCCCGCUUUUCCCUGUGCAUGCAAUUGAUUCCGUCUCUUUGUAUUGCUAAAACUUUGUUGUAUGUUGGAAAAACACGAAGAAUGGAAGGUUUAUAUACUGAUUGGAAGAACAGAAAAAUGAGGCCACCCAUAAUUUUCAAGACUACUAAACGUCUUCGUAAUCGCAAUCGUAACUGCUGUUGUAUGCAAAUGCCACGAUGUUUGACCCUUCAAAGUCUUAUUUCACAAUUCGUAAUUUUCAGAUUUCCAGUACCUUGUUUGUCAAGGAACUCAAUAAUCAUUAAAUGUUUCCCAACUGCCAAACCAACUAACUUUCCCGCCCGCCGAAAUUGCACUGUGAAAGAUUUAUAGCAUUUUAUUUAUACUCUAGUUUAAUGACAUGAGACUUUCGGUUUGGAUUGCCUAUAUUAUUUUUAGUAAUUUACCUUAUAUCUUUAAAAUUAUUUCAAAAAAAAAACCCAUAAUAUUAAUUAUUAUAUAAGUUGGAUUUAUUAAAUAUUAAAUAACAUAUAAAUUAAUAUUAAUCAUAAAUUCCCAUAAUAUUAAUAAUUACAAAAGAGUACAUUUAUCAAAAAUUAAAUAAUAUAUAAAUUAAUAUAAUUGUAUAAUCAAUUCUAAAUUACACAUUAUUUAAUUAAAUCUAAAAAUAUUUUUAAAAUAUCAAAAUCAAGCCCUAAAUAACUCACCACUUUUUAAAAAAUAUUUAAUAAAAUAUCAAUUAUUUAUCUUCUUAUUAUUUUUUUAUGAUAUAUAGUAGAAUUUAAAGUGAAAUUUUAAAUUAACACACCAAAAAUUGUUUUAGAAGGAAAAAAAAUAUUUUUUUCUGAUAAUAUUUUUUAAAAUAUAUAUAUUUUUAGUCUAAAAUAUUUUUAAAGAAAAAAUCAACCUUUUGAUCAAAUUUUAAAAUAUUAUUAAAAAAUAAAAAUUAUUUAUAAUAUUAAAAAAAUUCAAAAAAAAUAUUUUAAUAAAAACAUUUUAAGUAGAAAUACUAUUUCGUAAGAUACAAGAUAAGAAUCGCACAUAAAAGCAUUAUAAAUUAUUAGAAUCGCAUCGCAUAAAUCAUACUAAAUCUAACAACUAACCAAACUCAUCCUCUCUAAAUUUCAAUUUGGUCUCUUCUCAAUUUAUUUUUGGAUUGCUUUUCAUCUAGAAAUAGCAACCACAUAAAGCAUAGGCCAAAUACUCUAAAAAUAGGUAGAUUUCUCAUUUCUCACAUGUAGCAUCUAGAAAAAAAAACCGGUAGGGUUGGCAGAAAUAUAGGAACCACAUAAAGCAUAGGACAGAUGUUAUAAAGAUAGGCAGAUUUCUCACAUGUUAGCAUCUAGAAAAAAAAACGGGUAUGGGCUGGCAGAAAUAUAGGAAGGUGGUGGUGUGUAACCAAGACUUUCAUUAUCCAAAUUCACAUUCUUAUGGGAAAAACGUGAUUGACUUCGACACUUGAAAAAAAAAAAACAAUGGAAAGAAAAAGGGAAAUCAUCUACCCAAAUACUUGAAUGAUGAAAUCAAAUCUUUGAUCAUAUCUGCUAGUUUGGAAAGUUCAGUUUGACAACUACAUUGAAGAAGAAAAAAAAAAUUAAAACAUUACAGGUUGUUUGUGAUUUAAAAAUAAUUUUUAAUUUUUUAAGAUUUUUAAUAUUAUUUUUGUCAUUAUUUUUCGAAAAUAAUAAUAAUUUUUAAAAAAUAAGAGUUAUUUUUAUCGAUUUUUAAAAAUAAAAAAAAAAUAUAGAUCUGUUUGAUCAUAUUUUCUUAAACUUAUUUUUAAAUUGAUUAAAAUAAAAAAAUAAAAAAAAUAUUAAAAAUACAUAUAAAAAUGGUUUAUUAAUUUAAAAUAUUUUUUAUUUUUUAUCUUCUAUUUUUUCUCAUUAUUUCAUUUUCAUUUUCCACUUCAAAAUUUUCAAUAUUCAACUAUUGAAUUCCGUACACUUUUUUUUUUAAUGAAAAAGAUGAGUUUUGACUUUUGACACUUUUUCAAAAAAGAUGCGUUUUGAUCCCUUCCCUAUAAUAAUAAAAAAAGAAAUAGUAAAUUUAUUGACGUCACUCCAUGCAUCAUCUUCCUUAAAAGUACAAAUCGUCCUCCUCUUCUUCUCUUACUAUGUUUUUUUUUUGUUUUCAAUUUAUUUAAAGAAAAAAAAAAAUCUUUGGUGUCCGGUGGAAUCAAUCGAAUGAACGAGUGGCUUCUAUUAUUACAAAUUUGAAAAUUUGGCUUAUUUUAUUUUUAAAUAUAGAAAAAAGGCUACAUGAUAACUCCAUAAUAUAUGGAACAUGCAUAUGCCACCCUUUUUGACCCUUCAAAUUCUUAUGUUCUCCGUUCAUAAUUUUCACGUGUGUUCAAGGAAGUAGGCAAGCCUACGUUAAACAAUAAAAAAGAUGUUUUAAAUUUUACCAAAAAAAAAAAAAGUCAAAGGAUUUUUUCAAAAGAAUCUUAAGAAGUAAUUGGACAUCUCAAUAAGAAAUUUUUAAAACUAUAAAUGUAAAAUAUUUUGUUGGCAUUUUAUUUAUAAUUUAAUAAACGUUUUCAAACUUUGGGUUUUUGGAUUACAUGUUUGGAUUAGUAAUUGAAAUGUUGGGAAAUAUCAACGAGGUUCGCCAUGAAUAUGGGAUCAAAAGUCAAUAAACGAUGUUUCAUUAGUUAAGGUUGCUGGCUCUCUUGGUCAAACUCCCUAAAAAAAGUUUAAGUUCCAAAAGGUUUGGGUUGAAGCUUGGCUACCACUAGGGUGAAUUCAAUUAAUAUAUGUGCACAAGUAUAUAUUAAAAUCCAUUAUUAAAAAAAUAUUUUAAUAAAUAAAUUAAUUCUACUUAUUUUAUUUAAUUGAUUACUAAAAUAUAAAAACCAUCAUUAUAAUUUUUUAACAAGACUUUUUUUUAUAUCAUUUAUGUGAUAAUUAAAUAUUAAAAAUAUAAAUAGGAUAAAAAAAUGCAUAUAAUUUUGAAUGUUUUUAUUUUAAAAUAUUGAAAAUAUAAAUUUAUUUGAAAAUUGUUAAAAUAUAAUAAUAAUAAUAAUAAUAAUAAUGAAGUUCUAAUAUUUUAUAAAUUAAAAUUAAUUUAAUAAGAUAAAUUAUUAAUAUAAUUUUAAUUAUUUAAAUAAAUCAAUGUCAAUAGCAAAAAGUUGUCACCAUAAGUAAUAAAAUUUUAAAAAUUAAAACUCAAAUAAAAUAUUUUAUAUAAGUCUUAAAAUGUAGUUAAUUUUUUUUAUUUGAAAUGUAAUAAAAUUUUUAAUUUUUAAAAUAAAUGAAUAUAAAUAUAUUAAAGGAAUUUGAGAUCAUUUUUUCUAUAAAAAAAUUUGAUAAAUAUUGUCCUUGACCAUACCUAUGUUAGUUACACCUACAAAAUAACUUUAACAUAUGUUUUUUUACUUAUUUUAUCAUUUAAAACUUUUUUAAAUAUUUUCAUGAAUUUUGAACAAUUUUCGUCUUAUCGAUAUUUCUGAUAUAUCCAUAAAAUUCAAAUACUGAUAUAUUCGUAAAAUCCAAUUAUUGAUAUAUAUAUACAUGUUUAUAGAUAUUUUCAUCUUUGCUUUGGAUGCAUUUUUCUAUUUUUUGUUUUUAAAUAGAAUACUUUAAAUGUAGAGAAAAAUAUAGGAAUUCUUAUAUAAAAAGUAGGUACAUAUCUUGUAUACAUAAAAACACUUUUUAAAUUUUAAAUAAGUAAACAUUUUCACUUCCAAAAAAUUUUAAAGUUUUGAAAAAAAAAUUAAAAUAUAAAGUAAAUUUGGACUUUUUGUAUAAGAGUUGUUAUAUUUUAUAUAGAAAUUUUUAUUUUUAAAAAUAAAAAAUAAGAAGUGUAUCUAAUAGCUAGACACCUAAAGUAUUUUUUUUACAAUUUUAUUUAUACUCUAAUCUAAUGUUUAUAGAUUGAGUUUGUAUUCAAGUUUAUAUUAUGAUCGAUAUAUUAAGGGAUGAAGCUAAAGUAACUACCGAAAUGUUAUUUAGGUGAGAAAUUAUAAAAAUUAUGAUUGUAAUAAAUAUUUGAUAAAUUUUCAUAAUUUAAAAAGUAGUUAACAAUACCCCUCAUUAUUAUUAAACAAAAUAAAAAACAAUGGACAUUAAUUAUAAAAAGAAAAAGAAAAUAUAUCUUAUAUCAAAUUGAAUAAGAAAAAUAUUAAAUACAUUGGUCAAGAAUAUUUUAGAUUUUAUAAAUAAAAAAAAUCAAAAAAUUAAAAGAUUUUUUCUUCAAAAGAAAUUUAAAAAAAAAAAAGUUAAACAUUUCAAUAAGAAACUUCUAAUAAUUUUGUUUUAUUAAAAAAAUCCUAAAAAUAAAUUUUUAAAAAAAUCAAUAAUUCCACUUAUAAAUUUCUUCUCUUUUUCAAAUAGCUAAAGAUAAUUGACUGAGGAAACCUUUCUAAAAAUAUAGUUUGGUGAACUCCACAAGUAAACUAUGAAUAACUAAGAAGAGUUUCGGAGUUAUUGUUUGUAAUUUAUAAAUAUCAUAUUAAGUUAUACAAUUUUUAUAAUUAAAGUUAAAUUCAAUAUCUCGUAAUUUGAGUCAUUACAUAAGAUUGAAUUUAUCAAAUAUUAGAUAACAUAUAAAUUAAUAUUAAUCAUAAAUUCCCAUAAUAUGAAUCAUUACAUAAGAUUACAUCUAUCAAAAAUUAAAUAACAUAUAAAUUCAUACAAUUUUGUUGGCAAUUCUAAAUUAGUGAUUAUUUGAUUAAAUCUCAAAAAAAAAAAUUAAAAAGUCAAAAUCUAGCUAUAAAAAAUUCGCCACUGAAAAAAUUUAAUAAAAUAUUGUUAAAAUAACGAGAAUAGGUAAUUUAAAAAAAACACUAACAGACAAAAAACACAUAAAUUUACGUGAAAAACUCUAAAUGAGAAAAAACACAAGUAGAAAAGACAGAAAUCCAUUAUAUCAAAAUAUUGGUAUAAGAGGGAAAAGUUGCCAGCAAUUACAGAAGAAACAUAAUUAUCCUAAUCCUAAAACUAUACAUCAUCAUAAUCCUCCCAAAAAUCUCAUAAUUAUAGUUUCACUACAUAUGUUGUACCACAAGGUUUUUGAAUCGGAUUAAAUAGAAUUCGGAUUACCAAAUUCUAAUAAAUGUCAACGAUAAAGUUACAAAAAAUUUAUUUAUUAUAAAUUUUAUGGUAUAUAGUGGGAUUUAAAUAAAAUUAAUUAUAUAAAUUUUCAAUAAAAUUAAAUAAAAACAAAUAAAUCAUCGAUAAAACCUAUAUACAUUCAUAUUUAUUUACUUAUUUUUUUUAUUUUGAUCUUCAACAAGUUUUCAAAAAUAAAACAUUCAUUUUUUCAAAUAGAGUUCAAGUGUGACCAUGAUGCAUAUCACCUUUAUGAGAAUUGCAGGCCCACACUCAAAAUUUUAAAUAAAUAUUUUUAAAUAAUAAUAAUAAUAAUAACAACAAAAAGAAUAAUAAUUAAAUAAAUAAAUAUGAAAUGGGAAUUUCGGAAAAUUAUUCUAAAAUGAAAGUUUUAAAAUUAUUUGAGAAAUGGAAUUAUGAAAGGAGUUUUGGAAAAUUGGAGUUAGGAAAAUUGUUAAAAUAAUAAGAAAAUAAAUAAAAAGUCAAAAUCUUAAUGGGGCCAUGUGCCAAAGUGACCACACUUAGAGGUGGGCCAAGGUCGAAAAAGGUUUUCAAAUGAUGUUUGAACAUCCUGGCAGCCCAAAGAAAAAUAAAACAAAAUCUUGCAACGUGCACAUCCAUGAAUUUACAUCUGUGGCCCCACCAUUCAAUAUCACCGCCAAACCAGAAGAAAACCCACAAGUCCGCAGGCCGUCCUAUGCCAUCAGCAAUAAGCACAAGCUCUGAUUUCUCAAAUUACAAAAUAGCCCCACGGAAAGAAAUUCAAUUUCGAAUCUCCACCAAAAACUCCAAUAAUUGCCUAUCGACUUCACCCAAACUGCAAAACACUAAGGCUAUGUUUGAUUUCCGGAAAGUACGAAGGAAAGAAAAAAAAUGCUAAAGAAAAUGAUUUUCUCAUAUUUGAUUAUCCUAUGAAAAAUAUCAAAGAAAAUAAAAUAUAAUUAAAAUUAAUUAAAAAUUUAUAUAUUUUUAAAUUAUUUAAUCUUUAUAUUGAUGAGUUAAAAUAAAUAAAAUGAGUUUGAAGUAACAAAAAAAUAAUUUAUCAACUUUUAAUCUAUUUUUUUAUUUUUCUUCACUUUUUCUUUCCUUCUAGUUUUCCUUUGUAUUUUCUUUCCCUCGUAUUUUCCCUCAAAUUUUCCGGGAACCAAACAUAGCCUAAUAAUUCAACCACCCUCCAGACCACGCGUAGACGCUCCACUUCCACAUAUUUUGGCACGUAUUCUGUCAAGAUUAUUGGAUGCUGCCCAUGAGGCCUGUUAAUUAGUCGAAUGGUUCUCAACCGAGCCUAAAGCUUUGUCGAGUCAUAACCAGCUUCCCCGUGUUGUUGGCUCUCAGUGAGGGAUACUUCGGACUGAAGACCUCUCUACCAUAUCUCUCAUAAUGUAUCAUGGGCAGAGAAGCAAUGGAGAUUGGAUUGAUUCUUCUUGCUUUCAGGAGCUCUAUUAACUCCAAUUCCAACUUAACUGGAAAUUCCGAACCAAUAAGAGUUAUGGGACCCGUACCCACACCGGAAUUUUCUACUAUCGUCUCCGGAUAACACGCCACCGCAUGGGUCAAUCAGGUUCGUUUUGUAUGCUGUCACUGUAAAUACUCUGAAUAAUCCCCCAAAAAUCUCAUAAUUAUAGUUUCACUACAUAUGUCAUACCGCAAACUUUUUGAAUCGUACUAAAUAAAAUUCGGAUCACUAAAUUCUAAUAAAUGUGACAAAGUUACAAAAAGUUUAUUUAUUAUAAUUUUUAUGGUUUAAGUGGGAUUUAAAUAAAAUUAAUUUAAAAUUUUUCAAUAAAAUUAAAUAAAAACAAAAUAAAUCAUCGAUAAAAACUAUAUACAUUCAUAUUUAUUUACUUUUUUUUUUAUUUUGAUCUUCAACAAGUUUUCAAAAAUAAAACAUUCAUUUUUUCAAGGGAGAAUUAUCUUUUGGGGGUAGAUGGGCCCUCAAAUUAACAAAAGGUUCAUAUAACUCUUGAAAUUGAGUUGAAGGAUAUGAAAUAAUAACGGACAAAUAUACCCUUUAGGAACACAUAUAAAAUAUUUUAUAAAAUUAAGUUAAAUAAUUUUUUUUCAAUAACUUUUUUUUUUUCAAAAAUACUAAAUUAAAUAAAAGUAGUUUUCAAAAAUAUUAAAUUAAAUAAUUUUUUUUUUCAAAAAUAUUAAAUUAUUUUUUUUUCAAAAAUAUUAAAUUAAAUUAAAGUAUUUAAAAAAAUAUUAAAUUAAAUAUUUUUUUAAAUAUUAAAUUAAAUAAAUUUAUUUUUAAAAAAUAUUAAAUUAAAUAAAAGUAUUUUAAAAAAUAUUAAAUUAAAUCAAAAAUAUUAAAUUAAAUAAAAGUAUUUUUCAAAAAUAUUAAUUUUUUUCUCAAAAUCAACAAAGGGUAUUUUUGGAAAUAUUGAAAGAUGAUAUCCUUCAACUCAAUUUCUAUACUUUCAUUGGGUCUUGGGCUCAAUUUGAAGAGUUACAUGGACCUUUUGUUAAUUUGGGGGUCCAUCUACCCCCAAAACAUAAUUCUCCUUUUUUUCAAAUAGAGUUUCAAGUGUGACCUUGAUGCAUAUCAUCUCUAUGCGAAAUGCAGGCCCACCCUCAUGGUGUUCUCUAUUCCCUACUAAAAUAAUUAUUCCUUAGUGGAGCUAAAUAUCCCCAACUCAUUGAGGCAUCCCCAACAAUUGUCAUUAUUACAUCCUUUAUUUCCCAACAACUUUCAUGAAGAGGUAAAGGUACUUUGACAUUCUGCCUAAUAUAGCCAUGGUAAGGCUUCUUAUGAGCAUUUUGCAGUUUGGUUUGUGUAUGGGGAUCAAGCAACUUUUUAAUGUAGAGAAGACUAUACAUUGUGCUAGCAGAUUCUUCAAUGCAAACAUGUUAAUAUAAGAAUACAAACCUUAUAUUUUUAUCUACCAUAUAUUGAUAGGGAUAUUCCAAAUAGUUUCCAAUAUUCUAUAAGAUAUUUAAUUGUAAUGACAUAUACUUAGGAAUUUGAGAUACUUUCUAAUAAUUUUAGUCUCGUAUCAAAUUCAAUUAAGUUAAUCUUUCAUCUUUUCAUGAUACACGCUUUCAAAAGACUUGUUUUAACCAAAUUCUAACUCCACAUCAUGACCAAAUCUUUACUUCACAUCAUAACUUCUUUAUACGCCACACUCUCCUCAUGUGUCACAUGGUUCCUUUUGUGCACCUCAUGUGUCACAUGGUUCCUUUUGUGCACUAUAGUCUUAUCAUGUGUCACGAUUCCCUCGUGUGCUAUGGAUUUAAAAUCAUUUUUUUCCAUUUUAAACAUGUUAUUUCUUUAUAGCAUUUACUGUCUUUUUCAUUCAAGUUUCCUUUUCCUUUACUUUUAGUAGGACAUUGUUAUAAAACUCUACCUCUCACUUGGUCCGUAGGUUCCUUAUUACACUACCAACACACGCUCUAUUCAAAUUAUAGUCUAGUCUCAAUGUUAAUUUUGCAGAGUUAGACGAUACCCUUACGUGUAUUUCACCCUUGUUUGGAUGGCAAAAAAAAGUUUAGGAACUCACAACGAAGUAGGGAUUGAUGUUGAAUUUGUUAUGGGAUGAUGAAUAGAAUACUUUCCUUCUUACUCCUCUAUUCUACAUAAAUGCACAUACGGACAAGUUCGGUAUAAGUUUGUACUAACUCAAUUGGUAAGUGUCACUUUUUUAAUUAAUAGAUGUUGACAAUUUUGUCUUAAAUUAUAUAUUUUAGUUUUAGGAAAAUCGGUAUAUGUAGAGUUUAGCUUUUAGAAAACUCCCUUUUUAGGUUGACUAAGACUAGGAACUUAUUGUUUAGGAUUAGGUCUAUAAAUAUGUGGCCUACAUAGGAUUUUUUUAAGAGAGUGAAAAGAAAGUAAGUGCAUCCAAUUAAGUGAAAUUGUGUCCUUUUUCAUAUUUAGUAGAUUAUUUAACGUUUGAGAGACCACAUUUGUGUGACUGAUUUAUUUAUAUUUGCAUAAGAAUUUUACUCUCUUUAAAGAAUAAGUAUAAAGAGACAAACUUAAAAUAGGUAAUAAAAUAUUAAUUUGGGGAUUAAUUCAAAGACCACACCUUCUCUAUUUCACUUUAUUUUUUUACUGCAUUUGGAUGUUGUGAUUUUCCUAAAAAGUGGUAUCAGAGCCGUGCAGAGAUAAUGGAAAAAUUAUUUUGAUGAAAAUGUCUAACAUAAAAUAUAAUAUUGAGUUCUUUGAUGGAAAUAAUAAUUUUAGUAUUUGGCAAAGUAUUAUUAAAGAUAUUUGGGUACAACAAGAACUUCUCAAAGUGUCACAAUAAAAAAAAAAAAAAAAAAAUCAGAGAACAUGAAGAUUAAUUAGAAGCAAGAAUGGUAAGUGCUAUUUAUCUAAUUUUGAUUCCUAAAAUAAAAUACAUUUUUUAAAAAUGAGAGAUCUCUUUUUUAUUUAUGAGAAAAUUUAGAGAAAAUUUAUAAGCCAAAAUUCUUAACACAUAAAUUAUAUUUGAAGAAACAAUUAUAUGAGUUGAAGAUAGAUGAAGGAACAAAUGUUAGGAAUCAUACAAAUAAAUUCAAUAAAUGCAUGACUUAGUUAUUAAGGGUAGUGGUCAAGAUUGAUAAGAAUGAUCAAGCUAUUAUUUUCUUAGUGUCUUUACGAAAUUAUAUGAGACAUUGGUGAGUACACAAUUAGUUAGAAAGAUGAUAUUAACCAUUAAUGAUCUAUCAACUACCCUUUAAAUAUUGACCAACCAAGUAAUUCGUCUUGUACCGCACAAGCUUUUGUGGUGAAGUUUGAAUCAAAUCGUGAUAAGAGUAAAUCACAAGGAAGAUAUUAUGAUAUGAGGGAUGAUUGUUCUCAACCACACUUCUAGAGGGAUGUGGAGUUUUACUAUUGCCUCAAAAAAUGACAUAUCAAAAAGUACUAUAAAGAAUUGACAAAACACUUAGAAUCAAAGAGGUAAGCUAAAUUCUAGGAGACUUCAAAUUUUACUAAUAUUGUUGAUAAAAAGUUUGAUACAGAUAAUGUUGUUCUUUUUAUUAUAAUUGAUGAUUUUUUUUUUUUUUUUUUUUACUUUUAGAUUUUGGAUUUUGAAUGUUCUUUUCAUAUGUACCCAUAUUAUAAGUGGUUUGAUACCUAUAAGACUUGCGAUGCUAUUACUAUUAUAAUGGGCAAUGAUUCAAACUAUAAAGCUAUUGGGAUUAGUAUUGGGAAGGUGAAGAUAUUGGAUGGUGUUGUGAGGAUAUUGAGUAAUGUUAAGUAUGCUCCUAAGUCGAGGGGGAGUUCAAUUUCUUUGAAGACUUUGGACAAUUUCAACCAUGACUUUUUUGCUAAAGAAGACAUUAUGAAUAUUAGUAAAGGUGCUUUGAUAAUUAUGAAGGAAGAAAGGUGAAAAUUUCAUACACUUUGAUUGAGAAUACAAUUUUAGAUGCAAUUAUGAUGGUGAAGUCAUGCCAUGAAGUGUCUUAUGCUAGUGUUAAAGAAAUUGUCAUAGCAGAAGAGCACAAAAAAAUACUGGUAGUAGAUGAAAAACACAGAAGUGAGAUGAUCAAGGCUUUGUUUUUGGUUAAAAAUACUUAGUGGCACAAAGAUAAAGACUAAUUGAAAAAGAAAAGUUAUGAAAAAAAGAAUGUUCAUCGAGUCAAAGCUAAUGAGAGACUGAACUUGACAUAUACUUAUUCUCAUUGAUUAUGUGGUGGUGGCAAGGGGUGCAAAGAUGGGUAUCAAGGAAAAAUAACCCUACAUAUAGAUUGAGAAUUUGAAUCAAGAUGGAGAUUAUUAGUAAUUUUGACUUAAAUUAUUUAUUUUUUAUUUUUAGGAAAGCCAAUAUUUGUUGAGUUUAGGUUUUAGUAAAUUACUUUUUUAAAUUUGACUAGGAUUAGGAAACUUAUUUUUAAGGUUAGGUAUAUAAAUAUAUGGUUUUACAUUAGAUUUUAGGAGAAAGUGAAAAAAUGAGCGAAAAAUAUAGAAAGAUAGACAAAUUAUGUAUUGGGUUUUGGUAGAGUGACGUUGAGAAGGUUUGAGUAUAUAUUUUUUAAGUUACUAAUAAAUUUGAUCUCUCUCUCCCAUGAAAUCAUGUAAAUCUUUUAUCUUCUCUAUUUUACUUUAUUCUUUAUAUUGUCUUUGGGUGUUGCAAUUUCCCAAUAAUAGAAUGGUUUGAUCUUAUUUUGUUUCUAAGUAAAAUGUAAAUAAGUUAUCAGGUUAGCAAAUUAUUCAUAUACAUUAUUUUUUUUAGUCAUAUCAUCCAUGAACUUUUUCAAGGUGGCAACCUAUUUGGAAAAACCACAUUUGAUUUAAAAAAAGGAGAAUUGUGUUUUGGGCCAAUUGGGCUCAAAAAUUAAUCAAAGAUCCAUAUAUCAUGCACAUUUAAGCCCAAGACUCAAAUAAAGUGUAAAAAAUUAAGUUGAAUGAUAUUAUCCUUCGUUAAUCCCUCAAAUACCCUUAACACCUACAUAGAUAUAUAGUAAGUGUAAAUUUCAAUUUUUUUUUAAGUGUUUUUUUCUCUUUUCUAUUCCCAAUUAAGUAUUACUCAUUUCUAACUUUUUGUUUUUUCUUUUCUUUUUUAAAGAUAUUGAAUCUUUUUACUCUUAUUAUAAGUAAGGAUAAAAAAUCUUCAUAUAAAAUUUAAUGGAUAAUCAAUGAAUAAAAUUUAAUUCUUUUUAUUAUUUUCAUAUAAAAAAUAGUACUAAACAAGGGUUUCAAUUUUUAUUUUUAAAAAUAGUUUUCAUUUUUUAAUUAAAUGUUUUUUCAAAAAGAAAUAUAAAAAUAUAAAUCAUAUUACCAUUUUUUAGAAAGUAUUUUUUUUAAAUAGUUUUUGAACGUAAUUUUUCUUUAUUUAUAAUUUAAAAUAGAAAAUAAUGUUGAUUUCAAUUAUUUAAAAAAAAUUAAAAAAAAACAAUGAAAAAUCCAAAUGGUUAAAAUAGAAUUAUUAUGAUUGCAUGAAUCGUAGUGCUAUAAAGACCAAAAAAGUUUAUAUGAAAAGUUAAUGAGUAUUUUGAUCUUUUGAUAUCUUAUAUCAUUUCCAUCAAUUAUGUAAGUUAUAUGGACGAAAUCUUAAUUUUUUUGUCUAACUCGCUCAAAAUUCCAUUAUCCCUUUAAAAAAUAAAAUAAAAAUCAAAUCCUCCUUAAACAAAGGAAAGAAAAAGAAACAACAAAUCUUGAAGUGAGGUUUCAACAGAUCUUUGUUCAAUAAAGCAGCCAAGCAUUAUGGGGCUUAGUUGAAAGUACUCAUUUUCAUGAGUCCAAACAAUGAAAGAUUUGAUAUCCAGAAGCAUUCACCUAGUCAAAAAAUUUAAUGAGUUUUUCAGCUUGGUAGAGUCAGGUCAAAUCCACAUGUAGUGAUUCUACAAUUCAGAAUAUAACUGCUUCACUUGGAAAUGAUCAUCAGGAUACCAAUGCAUGAGCACCAAAUCUUCUGAACUACUUUUCUUCAUGUGUCCAGCGUAUAAGUAGAAAAUGGAUCAGUAAGUGCAGGCAUGGAACUGUUGGCAAUAAGUCUGAUCUCUCUGAAGAAGGCCUAAGCUUCCCUUUUUGCUAGUUCAAGUCUAUAGAUGUAAUAGUUCUUGGAAAUGGUAUCUGAUUUCAGACUGGUUGGUGUUGAAACCAUACCAUUUUCUUGCUGUCAUUGUGUCUUAAUGUUUUCAGCUACUUAAAGAAGAGACUGAAAGUGGGGCACCAUAGUGGUAAGUUGGUAAUCGGGGAUGAAAGAAAUGCUCAAGGUUGUAUCAGUCUUGAAUUUCAAAUUGCAUAAAAUUGGCAGAAAAAAAAAUACAAGAAUUUAAUAAGAUAGAUGUUACCUGCUCAUUGCAGGGCUAUGAAAACUCUCUAAUAGCCUAUACAUCAAACGAAACCAGUUUUUUUCAUCUUAAAAUCAAAUGUGGAACUGAAAAGGUUACACACAUAUACAUUAACCAAGAGUCUCUGAAGAACUUUUGCUCCGUGUGACUUCUUAUCGCCUUUGGAAGUUCAAUGCCUUAAUGGCAUAGGCAAAGAUAAAUAAGAAAAGCACCACAAACCCAACGACCACAGCUGCAACCACUCCUAGGAAAUCAUGUUUGAAUCCAAAGUAGUCAUUCAAGUAGUCUUUCACUGUUACACCUGUGUUUAGUUCUUCUGUUAUAUCUCCAAACUGUGAUGUAACCAAUCCAUACAAAGUCCAUGAAACUGGGCAUAUCCAAUAGUACCAUCUCCACCACACGGGUAUUCUCUGUAUUCAUCAAGGAAGAAAUGCAUCAAAAUGAGUCAUUCCUGUAUCCAUGUGGCUAAAGAAAGUUGCAAUUUAAAGAACUAUGGGUUGAGAGCACUUACAUUUCGUGGGACUAUAAAACCUGAAAAGAGGUUCCACAAUCCAUAAAAUGCUGCGGCAACAAUGGAAGCGAUAUUUUGAUUUGGUGUGGCAGCCACAGCCAUCAUGCCAUAGAAGGUGAAGUACAUUAAGGUGAAGAACAUGAAAAACAGAUACCAGAAGAACUUAGCGGCUGUCCAUUGAAAUCCAAUCAUUGCAUAAACUAUAAGACCAUACACCACGGCUUGUGAAAAGAUAUAUGGUAUCUCAACUAAAGCCUGCAACAAGAGAUGAGAUUUGAUUAAUAAAACCUAUGAAGUAUUAGAGACAGACAAAGUCUAUAGCAUAAGAAAACUAGUUACCUGUGCAAAGGCAUAUGACAGUGGUGAAUACAUUCCUGCAGCUCUUUCUCUGUAAAAGACUGUUCGUUCAACUACCACAACUGGCUGCACUGACUGGGAAUUUUGAAUCCCAAGGAAGAGAACAGCAGCAUACAUUGAACCCAUUGCAUUAAACAGAUCUUGUUGCGUUGACCUGCAUUUUACCACGUGAAGUAUAAAUCAAUGUUGAUAAAAAAGAAACAUACAGAGUUCUCAAAUUUUUGAACUGACUUCAAAUUACCAUUUGGUGCCCAGAUCCCAGAACAUUGUCCCAAACAUCAAGGCUAUGAAAGUUGUGAAGAGAAAUCUCACUGCCGUGUAUGGUGGGUUGCGCCAGUAUGACCAACGCUGUUUCCAUAAGCAUGCCAAAAAUUGGGUGAAGAAGGGCUGGGAGAAUUGAGUACGGAAAUAGAGGUCCUUUGUACCAGGGGGAGGUUGGCUCAGUUCUUUAAUUAAAUCUUUGUUUCUCCUGAAACAUAUGCCACUUGUUAGAAAAGGUUUCAACAACAAAUUUAAGUUUUCAUGAGAAACAUUAGGAUGGCUGUAUAUUAUUUUUCAAUCUUAUAAUGCAAUUAGAUAACCUAUGGUUGAAUCACCUGUAUAGGUCCGAAUUCUUGUAUAUUUCAGUGAAAUCGACCCCCAAAGUUGCUUCUUGUGCUGCGGUGGUAGCUUCCAGCAUCCAGGUUGCAGGGUUAUAACCAUCUUUGAUUUUACUGACUCCUUCAAUUCCCUUUAUGAAAGAAAGUGAUAUGCAUUAGUGAGCGCUUAAUAUGAAUUAACUCAAACUGAAGUAUUCACUUCUUAUAGCUUCUACUUCAUCAUGGCAGCUUACCUCAAAAUAAUUUAUCAGAUGGCAAGAAUAUCUGCCUAGUGGUCCCACAUAUAUCUCUUGUCCUCCUCGCUUCAGCAGGAGCAACUGCAAAUCCAUUUUAAAUAUUUCAGUACUUAUAUGCAAAGAUCAUAGAAGGGAAACUAUAAAUUCUUUCCAUCCAUUAACAUUUUCUACCUCAUCAAAGGCUUCAAAUAUGUCAAUACUUGGUUGAUGGAUGGUGCACACAACUGUUCUUCCUGUGUCCACUGUGUUCCUGACUGUUCUCAUAACAAUUGCAGCAGCUCUUGCAUCUAGCCCUGAAGUUGGCUCAUCCAUGAAUAUUAUUGAGGGAUUUGCCACAAGCUCAACAGCAAUGGUCAGCCUCUUGCGCUGCUCAGUUGAGAGACCACUUACACCUGGCAACCCAACUAGUGCAUCCCUCAAUGGGGUCAGUUCCACAAGCUCCAUGACUUCCUCAAUGAACAUCUGUAACCAUUGGCAAGGAUUAGAAAUUGUUUAAAAAACAAUGCAAAACCAUAGUAGAGAUGGUGAAAAUUUUGACAGUGCUUGGGACUCUUUACCGUCAGCAGGUUGUGAAUUCUCCAGUCUUAUUAAACAGAAGAGUUAAAAAAUGCAAAUGCUUAAUAACACUCACUAGCUUGCAUGAAAUUCACCCACUUGGGAAGGCAGGUCAAUGAAAUUUGAACCAGGAAAGGUCAAGCCAAACUUUAACCUGAUCUUAGCUCAACCAAGUUUGAAAAACCAAUUCUAGGGCCUUGCUUGUUUAGAGCAUUAAAUUGAAUAAGAAAUGCGGAAACAACUCAAGAAACCCUCACCUGUCUGGUUUCAGAUUUCACAUCAGAAGGCAACCGCAACCAAGCUGAGUAGAGCAAGGACUCAUAGACAGUAACAUGAGGAGAGUGGAUGUCAUUCUGCUCACAGUAUCCAGAAAUUCGAGCAAAAGUCUCCUGCUUCUUUGGGUAGCCAGAAAUGGUGAUGUUGCCCUCAAUAUAUCCACCAGUUUUUCGACCAGCCAAUACAUCCAUGAGGGUGGUUUUACCAGCACCACUAACCCCCAUCAGAGCUGUAAGAACACCAGGCCUGAAAGCACCACUCACCCCCUUCAGAAGCUCCAAUUUGUCUUCAACAACACCUUGACUUUUCAUCUCCUGCAAAUUCAUUUCAAACAACUCAGUUCUCAUUUUUGGUUUAUAGUACAUUAUGACAAAACUUCAGUGCUGAUAAAACAUACACAUUAUUUGCAUAAAUAUGAAGUUACCUCUGGCAUGUCAACUGAGUAUCUAAUAUCAUCGAAGGUAAUAGAAUAUGGUUGGAAUGGAAGAACCAUUCCUUUCUUCUUGUUAUGGUUAGCCCCCGCAACAGCUUCUUCCCUAACAGCUGAGGAUGUGGAUGAGAUGCUUCUCCCAAUUUCCUCUCCUCUCUCUGCAUGUCAAGUUCAAAUUUAAUGAGCCAAAUAAAAACAUGUAGUUGAAUGACAAGAACACAGGCACACAAAGGCACAUGCACCAUGUAUGAGUUUCAUCACCUGUGGAUGCAGCUUGGUCAAUAGAGCUAUUUCUCUGGGACAACUCAAUCUGUCCUCCAGUUUCGGCAUUGUCAGACUCUUCUACUAUAACAGCUUGAGGCUUAUCAAAUGCUGCACAAUUUGCACAAUAUUAAUACACAAAGCUCCAAUUUUUACAAGUUUCAAUGCAGAGAAGGAAGAGAUACCCACGAUUUAGGAAAUUGAGGCACAAAGUGUAACCGAAAUUGAAGAGAAGUAUGAACCCAAACAGUGCCCCAGCUCCUAUCCAGUACCAGUAUGCCUCUGUGAAGAACCCACGAUUGUUCAAUACUGUGACUCCAAGGGAUUCUGUUGAACCAGUAACAUUCUGAAAAAUGGAAAUAGAUUCAAUCAUCAGUUACUGACAGGCAUAACAUAAACAAACAAAAAUAUUCACAUGGAACAUUCAAUAACUUACUUUCUUCCAACUGUGCCCAAGGAAUUCAUUUACCACUAUUGCGUUUUGCGCAUACAUCAGAGGGGAACACCAGUAACCCCAAAUCCACCAUUUCUUGACAUCAUCUGCAGCAUUGACCAAAUACGAAAAGGAAACAAAAAUUCAUUAUUAGGGGUUAUGCACAAGAAGGUUCUAUGUUUCCUAAAAAAAUAUUUCCUCAUCAUACCAUGUGACAGGAUAAAACCACCCAAUGCCAAGAGCAUAAGUAAAACAAAUGCCCCAAAUGUGUUUGAAACAAUCAUGUUUCUACCAGCUGAUGCUAUCAAUCGAAAUAAUCCAGAUGCCAUCUGAUUAACAAGCAAGAGGAGAAGAUACUGUCUAAACAACCUGCAAUAAGGAGAUUUGUUUAUUCAGCAUUAAUCAUUUUGGAACAGAGAAAACAUGUAAAAGAAAUCUGGAUAAGUUUCUACAACUUCAUAACUUUUUAACUUUUACCUUUCCACAUUUGGAUCAAAUCCAAUGACAUAAUAAGUCAUGAACACCCAAACACCAACUUCAAUAAAUGUGAUGGGGAUCUUGAGGAUCCAUGUGGGAAGAGCAUAUGCCCAUGCAGGAUAGAAGAGUAGGUCUCUUUGCUUGUAAAAGACAGGAAGUUUUGCAAUUGCCAUGGCAAGUUCUGCCAUUCCAUUAAACAUUAUCAUGACAACAGUGAAGAACAAAGCACCCGUAUAAAUGUUUCCAUCAUCUACUGAAUUUUUGUGCAUCUCAGUUCUUAGGAAGAGUGUCAUUGUAAUCACUGCCAUUAUUGCAAGCUAAAAACAGAAAUAAAAAUUAUAAAUUACGAUCACAUAUAGAUAAUUAAAAGUCAUUGUUAAAAGUAACAAUAAUAAUAAUACUCACUUGGGUGAGCUUGAAAACAUAGACAAAUGAGUUCCUCUUCAUCAGCAAGUACUCCCUUGACAUGUUGGCAUCCAACAGUUCCUUCUUAUUAACACCAUACUUUUUGGUUGUCAAAGCAGCUGGGUGGCUUUUCGUCUUGUCGUAUGGAGACGCAAGCUCAUCUCCUACUUUCCGUCCAGUGUGAAAUGACUGGAAUGCCUCAGCAAAUUCCUUGACUGUGACAAACCUGUAAGGCUCUUCUUUACGUGCCCAAUACUGCUGCUGAUCUUUCUUAGAUGUUACCUGCAAUGAUUUUUAAAGUUCAUGUUCUAGCUCAGUUUUUUUCUAAAGAUGGAAAAAAAAUGAGAAGAUACCAAAAGCUACAAAGCAACUUGCACUCACUUCUUGUAGGAAGUCUGCCACACCCUUCCUUUCAGGACAUCUGAAGCCCGUGGAUUCAAAAAAUUCAAGCACGUCUUCACGAGGACCUUGAUAAAUGAUACGACCAUCAGAGAGGAGAAUGAUGUCAUCAAAAAGAUUGUAAGUCUCAGGUGCUGGCUGGAGGAGAGAUAUGACAGCAGUCCCAUUGAGAAUGUGAAUGGUUUGCUUGAGACAAUUCACAAUUUGAAAAGUUGUUGAACUGUCCAAGCCAGUAGAGAUCUCAUCCAUAAACAGUGCCUUUGAUGGUCCGACCAGCAUCUCACCUAUCAGUCAUGCAUUCACAUAAUUGAAUUAAAUUAACUCAGCAAACCAAAAAAUCUAAUUUUUUGGUUUUUUCUUUUGGUUAGAAACUAAAUAAUCCUACCUGUUGUGACACGCUUCCGUUGUCCUCCAGAGAUACCCCUUAUCAUUUCAUCUCCUACCAUGGUAUCUGCACAGAUGUCUAGUCCCAGAAUCUGUAAAUAGAAGAAUAAAGAUGAAUAAACAAAGUAUAAGUUAGAAUCGGGUUUUCUCAGCAAUCUGUAUGCCAUCAUUGACAGUUUUAUGGUUAUAAUACCUUCAGUGUAUAAUCAGUGACCACAUUUUCCUUCUGGCCUUCAGUUGCCGCUGCCUGAAAUAUUAGAAACCAAUAAUGAAAAUGUCAACCACCAUGGAAGCAACUUCAGUACAUUAAGAACUUUCAUAGAUAAAAGAUUCUGACACAGCAUAAAAUUCACAAGUAAGAUUGACUCAAGCCAUUCAUUUUAGUACAAAAAGAAACAAACAAACUCCAGAACAGACAGAACAUUGACGAUACAAAGCCAUUUUGUCUAUGUCAGAAAUCAAAAUUUUCAUUCUGGAGAAGAGUGGUAUCCAUGUUCACUAAAAACAAAUAGCUCAAAUUCAGCAGAACUGGUCAAAAUUUUUACUGAAAGUAGAUUCUCUCUCACCUUCAUGAAGACAUCAAGAUCAGGAUCAGGCUUAAUAUUUGCUGCUUUCUCUCUCCUUGAGAGCUCUGCUAACAUGUCUGAGGAUAGCCAAAAUAAGAAUCAAUCUCCUGGCCUAUGCUAAUGUCAUAGAACUACAUUCACAACCUUCAAAAACAGAGAAAAUAAAAAGUGAAGGCAACGGUUUAGACUAACCAUAUCGAUCUCCAACACCCUGGCAUCUUGCAGAGAAGGCCAAGGUUUCCCGUACAGUCAUUUCUCCGAUAUGGGUAUCAUGUUGGCUGAUAUAGGCGGCAGUUCUCUGGGGUACAAACUCAUCCAUGCCAUGACCGUUGUAUGUCACCCUUCCCGUAACCUAAGGAAUAAAUUUCAGUUUUCAAAUUGGAUAUGAUAUUAAAGAUCUAAAAAUCGAAUAUUCAUCAAAGAACAAAAGCAAUAGAAUUUUUUUUUUCAUUCAACCUUAAGAGUGGGAUCAAGCUUUCCGGACAAAGCCAGUAAGAGAGUGGUCUUUCCAGAACUUGGAGGACCCAAAAGUAAAGUCAUUCUGCAGGGACAAAAAAUGCACAAAAAAUUGAGUAUGUAUCUUCAGGACAUUCUAAAUAUGAGAAAGGAAAAAUUCAGUUGAUUUAUCAAUCAAUUUUUCACUAAAAAUAAAUUCAUAUUCUCACCUUUGAGGUUUGAUGAUUCCACUAACAUCAUGAAGAAUAGUGAAUUUCCUCCUUCUACUCGGAAGAAUCCGAAGACCGGUCAAGGCAUCCUUUAAAACAGAAGGAAAAAUUAUAAUCUGAAGACAAACUUACCUAAAAGAGUAUUUAUUGCAUAGCUAAUGCUCCGUAUAUUGUAGUUACCUCGAUUUUAUUGAACAUAAAAUUAUGGAAUGAAGGCAAAGCUCUGCUUCCUAUAAAAGCUUCUGCAUCGAUGGUAAGAUGCUCAAAUCUAACUUCAAUUUCAGGAAUAGUAAUCCCAACUCUGAAAAAAUGGAAGAGACAGGAAAACCCAUUACUAAAGAGCCAAAGGAAGAUGAUGUUUGGCUCUGGAGAAAAUGUAGGAAACACCCAUCAUGCAUAUUUAAGGUGAAUUCUUCCUUUUCCACUGUUUCAAUGUUCAAAAAACGGCAAGCAACGAAGAAAGGAGGAGAAAUCGUACCUCUCGAUACGAUUCCUGAGCCUCAACAGGAACUUCUCAUUGUCUUCUUCUGCAAUUUUUACCAACCGCUCCAUUAAACUCUGCUUUUCCUGAUACCCAAGGUUGUCUACAUCAACUUCACUGGCCGCACCCUGUGAUCCCAUCAGCAAACCUUUCCUCAACCGAUUGUAGGUGGGAAGUUUCUCGAGGGCGGCCCAUUUCAAAGCUUCCUCAUCAUCCUCAUCCCUUGAAGACCGGGAGAAAACAUCCGCACCAGAGCUCCUCCACAUAGAACCAUUCCUCCUUAAACUACCAGCGGCUCUAUAAAUUUCAGCCGUCGCCAUUGCAACACGAAACCAAGAACCCUCCUGCAAAACCCACCAAAACCCAGAAACCUUUCCUAAAAAUUCAGGAAAAGAAACUCGGAUUUCAAAUUCCCGAGCUGAAAAAGCUCAAAAUCAGAGAUGGGCCUCCUCCUCUCUUUUCUCUAUGCAUACAAUUCCGCCCCUUUCUGUAUUCCAAAUAUCUUUCUGUAU
rnacentral:lncRNA from 1 species